GAGACGCAGGAAAGCGGGUCAAUGUGUAGGGCUGGAGGGCAGGGGCGGGCCCUGGGCCUGGGCUGGGGGUCCUGCCCCGGGGCGCACCCAGGGCGAGGGCUGCCCGGAGGAGCCGAGGCUGGCGGACAGCUUGGCCCUGAGCUUGAGGGGAAGGCAGCGAUGGGACAAAGGACGGAGGUCUAGGAAGAGGGUCUGCAGAGCAGAAAGCACGGGUAGGGGCGGCCUGACGCUCGGAAGACAACGGAUGGGAGCCGUGUGCACGUCGGGAGCUCGGAGUGAGCGCACCAUGACUCCUGUGAGGAUGCAGCACUCCCUGGCAGGUCAGACCUAUGCCGUGCCCCUCAUCCAGCCAGACCUGCGGUGAGAGGAGGCCGUCCAGCAGAUGGCAGAUGCCCUGCAGUACCUGCAGAAGGUCUCUGGAGACAUCUUCAGCAGGUAGAGCAGAGCCGGAGCCAGGUGCAGGCCAUUGGAGAGAAGGUCUCCUUGGCCCAGGCCAAGAUUGAGAAGAUCAAGGGCAGCAAGAAGGCCAUCAAGGUGUUCUCCAGUGCCAAGUACCCUGCUCCAGAGCGCCUGCAGGAAUAUGGCUCCAUCUUCACGGGCGCCCAGGACCCUGGCCUGCAGAGACGCCCCCGCCACAGGAUCCAGAGCAAGCACCGCCCCCUGGACGAGCGGGCCCUGCAGGAGAAGCUGAAGGACUUUCCUGUGUGCGUGAGCACCAAGCCGGAGCCCGAGGACGAUGCAGAAGAGGGACUUGGGGGUCUUCCCAGCAACAUCAGCUCUGUCAGCUCCUUGCUGCUCUUCAACACCACCUAGAACCUGUAUGGCCAGAAGGCAGGGCCGAGGGGUGUGGGCGGGAGGCCCGGCCUGGCUUAGUGGGGACCCAGGGCAUCAGACACAGGUACAAGAAGUAUGUCUUCCUGGACCCCCUGGCUGGUGCUGUAACAAAGACCCAUGUGAUGCUGGGGGCAGAGACAGAGGAGAAGCUGUUUGAUGCCCCCUUGUCCAUCAGCAAGAGAGAGCAGCUGGAACAGCAGGUCCCUGAGAACUACUUCUAUGUGCCAGACCUGGGCCAGGUGCCUGAGAUUGAUGUUCCAUCCUACCUGCCUGACCUGCCCGGCAUUGCCAACGACCUCAUGUACAUUGCCGACCUGGGCCCCGGCAUUGCCCCCUCUGCCCCUGGCACCAUUCCAGAACUGCCCACCUUCCACACUGAGGUAGCCGAGCCUCUCAAGACCUACAAGAUGGGGUACUAACACCACCCCCACCGCCCCCACCACCACCCCCAGCUCCUGAGGUGCUGGCCAGUGCACCCCCACUCCCACCCUCAACCGCGGCCCCUGUAGGCCAAGGCGCCAGGCAGGACGACAGCAGCAGCAGCGCGUCUCCUUCAGUCCAGGGAGCUCCCAGGGAAGUGGUCGACCCCUCCGGUGGCCGGGCCACUCUGCUAGAGUCCAUCCGCCAAGCUGGGGGCAUCGGCAAGGCCAAGCUGCGCAGCAUGAAGGAGCGAAAGCUGGAGAAGAAGAAGCAGAAGGAGCAGGAGCAAGUGAGAGCCACGAGCCAAGGUGGGCACUUGAUGUCGGAUCUCUUCAACAAGCUGGUCAUGAGGCGCAAGGGUAGGAGGCAGGGCCGCUGCCCGCCCUGGGCCGGCACAUUGUAAUUCUGUCCUGCCUUUUUCUUCCUGUAUUUAAGUCUCCGGGGGCUGGGGGAACCAGGGUUUCCCACCAACCACCCUCACUCAGCCUUUUCCCUCCAGGCAUCUCUGGGAAAGGACCUGGGGCUGGUGAGGGGCCCGGAGGAGCCUUUGCCCGUGUGUCAGACUCCAUCCCUCCUCUGCCGCCACCGCAGCAGCCACAGGCAGAGGAGGACGAGGAUGACUGGGAAUCCUAGGGGGCUCCAUGACACCUUCCCCCCCAGACCCAGACUUGGGCCGUUGCUCUGACAUGGACACAGCCAGGACAAGCUGCUCAGACCUGCUUCCCUGGGAGGGGGUGACGGAACCAGCACUGUGUGGAGACCAGCUUCAAGGAGCGGAAGGCUGGCUUGAGGCCACACAGCUGGGGCGGGGACUUCUGUCUGCCUGUACUUCAUGGGGGGACGGCUCCACCCAGCCUGCGCCACUGUGUUCUUCUCUUAAGAGGCUUCCAGAGAAAACGGCACACCAAUCAAUAAAGAACUGA
ensembl:lncRNA WASH2P WASP family homolog 2, pseudogene